GUUGCAAUGAUGAAUUUUAGUAUACCGCCCCAGUCUGACUUGUUUGGUGACUGAAUGGUAACAAUUCUGAUGCAGA